rnacentral:rRNA from 1 species
ACCUGGGAACUGCGUUUGAAACUGGGAGACUUGAGUGUGGCAGAGGGGGGUGGAAUUCCACGUGUAGCAGUGAAAUGCGUAGAUAUGUGGAGGAACACCGAUGGCGAAGGCAGCCCCCUGGGUUAACACUGACGCUCAUGCACGAAAGCGUGGGGAGCAAACAGGAUUAGAUACCCUGGUAGUCCACGCCCUAAACUAUGUCAACUGGUUGUCGGGGGAUUAACUCCCUUGGUAACGAAGCUAACGCGUGAAGUUGACCGCCUGGGGAGUACGGCCGCAAGGUUAAAACACAAAGGAAUUGACGGGGACCCGCACAAGCGGUGGAUUAUGUGGAUUAAUUCGAUGCAACGCGAAAAACCUUACCUACCCUUGACAUGUACGGAAUCUCCCAGAGAUGGGAGGGUGCCCGAAAGGGAACCGUAACACAGGUGCUG